UGGGAAUUUGGACAAUGGGCGCAAGCCUGAUCCAGCCAUGCCGCGUGCGGGAAGAAGGCCUUCGGGUUGUAAACCGCUUUUGUCAGGGAAGAAAUCUUCUGAGUUAAUACCUCGGGAGGAUGACGGUACCUGAAGAAUAAGCACCGGCUAACUACGUGCCAGCAGCCGCGGUAAUACGUAGGGUGCAAGCGUUAAUCGGAAUUACUGGGCGUAAAGCGCGCGCAAGGCGGUUUUGUAAGACAGAGGUGAAAUCCCCAGGCUCAACCUGGGAACUGCCUUUGUGACUGCAAGGCUUGAGUGCGGCAGAGGGGGAUGGAAUUCCGCGUGUAGCAGUGAAAUGCGUAGAUAUGCGGAGGAACACCGAUGGCGAAGGCAAUCCCCUGGGCCUGCACUGACGCUCAUGCACGAAAAGCGUGGGGAGCAAAACAGGAUUAG
rnacentral:rRNA from 1 species